rnacentral:rRNA from 1 species
AGGACGAACGCUGGCGGCGUGCUUAACACAUGCAAGUCGAGCGGAAAGGCCCUUCGGGGUACUCGAGCGGCGAACGGGUGAGUAACACGUGAGCAAUCUGCCCUUAGCUUCGGGAUAGCUCCGGGAAACCGGAAUUAAUACCGAAUACGACUACGGCCGACAUCGGCUGUGGUGGAAAGUUUUUCGGCUAGGGAUGAGCUCGCGGCCUAUCAGCUUGUUGGUGAGGUAACGGCUCACCAAGGCGACGACGGGUA